rnacentral:tRNA from 2 species
GCCGCAGUGGUGGAAUGGUAGACACUAGGGACUUAAAAUCCCUUGGGCCCUAGGCCCGUACUGGUUCGAGUCCAGUCUGCGGCACCA